UUUAGUGAGUAGGAAGGUACAAUGGUAUGCGUAGAAGUGUUUGGCGUAAGCCUGCAUGGAGCUGCCAUUGGUACAGAUCUUGGUGGUAGUAGCAAAUAAUCGAAUGAGACCUUGGAGGACUGAAGUGGAGAAGGGUUUCGUGUGAACAGUGGUUGAUCACGAGUUAGUCGGUCCUAAGUUCAAGGCGAAAGCCGAAAAUUUUCAAGUAAAAACUAAUGACUUAAUAAAUAUAUAUACAAGCCAAAAAUAAUAUACUUGAAUAAUUUUGAACGAAAGGGAAUACGGUUCCAAUUCCGUAACCUGUUGAGUAUCCGUUUGUUAUUAAAUAUGGGCCUCGUGCUCAUCCUGGCAACAGGAACGACCAUAAAGAAGCCGUCGAGAGAUAUCGGAAGAGUUUUCUUUUCUGUUUUAUAGCCGUACUACCAUGGAAGUCUUUCGCAGAGAGAUAUGAUGGGCUAGAAGAGCAUGACAUAUACUGUUGUGUCGAUAUUUUCUCCUCGGACCUUGAAAAUUUAUGGUGGGGACACGCAAACUUCUCAACAGGCCGUACCAAUAUCCGCAGCUGGUCUCCAAGGUGAAGAGUCUCUAGUCGAUAGAAUAAUGUAGGUAAGGGAAGUCGGCAAAUUAGAUCCGUAACUUCGGGAUAAGGAUUGGCUCUGAAGAUUGAGAUAGUCGGGCUUGAUUGGGAAACAAUAACAUGGUUUAUGUGCUCGUUCUGGGUCUAUCAUUUAUGGUGGUUACUUGUUCCCUGGAUAGUUUAGUUACGUAGCCAAUUGUGGAACUUUCGUGCUAAAAUUUUUAAGAAUACUAAUUGGCUCAAACCGAUUAGUUCUUAUUAAUUAUAACGAUUAUCAAUUAACAAUCAAUUCAGAAUUCAGAGUAACUAUGACUCUCUUAAGGAAGUUGCAGAAUUAAGAACCACACAGCGCCGCCCUAGUUAUAGCGAGCAAGAACACCGAGUAUCGCCAUCGGAAGCAUCCCGAAUCAUUCCAUCUGUACAGUCUGGCGAAAUCAUGCGGAAACUACGGGGCUACCGCCCCGU
rnacentral:ncRNA from 1 species